rnacentral:rRNA from 1 species
ACACAUGCAGUCGAGGGGUAGAGGAAGCUUGCUUCCUUGAGACCGGCGCACGGGUGCGUAACGCGUAUGCAAUCUACCUUAUACAGAGGGAUAGCCCAGAGAAAUUUGGAUUAAUACCUCAUAGUAUUACUGAGUGGCAUCACUUGGUAAUUAAAGUUCCAACGGUAUAAGAUGAGCAUGCGUCCCAUUAGUUAGUUGGUAAGGUAACGGCUUACCAAGACAAUGAUGGGUAGGGGUCCUGAGAGGGAGAUCCCCCACACUGGUACUGAGACACGGACCAGACUCCUACGGGAGGCAGCAGUGAGGAAUAUUGGGCAAUGGAGGCAACUCUGACCCAGCCAUGCCGCGUGCAGGAAGACGGUCCUAUGGAUUGUAAACUGCUUUUAUACAGGAAGAAACCUCCCUACGUGUAGGGACUUGACGGUACUGUAGGAAUAAGGAUCGGCCAACUCCGUGCCAGCAGCCGCGGUAAUACGGAGGAUCCAAGCGUUAUCCGGAAUCAUUGGGUUUAAAGGGUCCGUAGGCGGCCUUAUAAGUCAGUGGUGAAAUCUCCUAGCUCAACUAGGAAACUGCCAUUGAUACUGUAGGGCUUGAAUUUUGGUGAAGUAACUAGAAUAUGUAGUGUAGCGGUGAAAUGCUUAGAUAUUACAUGGAAUACCAAUUGCGAAAGCAGGUUACUAACCAACGAUUGACGCUGAUGGACGAAAGCGUGGGGAGCGAAC